AUUGAACGCUGGCGGCAUGCUUUACACAUGCCAGUCGAACGGUAACAGGGUGCUUGCACCGCUGACGAGUGGCGAACGGGUGAGUAAUGCAUCGGAAUGUACCGUGUAAUGGGGGAUAGCUCGGCGAAAGCCGGAUUAAUACCGCAUACGCCCUGAGGGGGAAAGUGGGGGACCGAAAGGCCUCACGUUAUACGAGCAGCCGAUGUCUGAUUAGCUAGUUGGUGAGGUAAAGGCUCACCAAGGCGUCGAUCAGUAGCGGGUCUGAGAGGAUGAUCCGCCACACUGGGACUGAGACACGGCCCAGACUCCUACGGGAGGCAGCAGUGGGGAAUUUUGGACAAUGGGCGCAAGCCUGAUCCAGCCAUGCCGCGUGUCUGAAGAAGGCCUUCGGGUUGUAAAGGACUUUUGUCCGGGAGCAAAUCCUAGUGGUUAAUACCUACUGGGGCUGAGAGUACCGGAAGAAUAAGCACCGGCUAACUACGUG
rnacentral:rRNA from 1 species